rnacentral:rRNA from 1 species
AAGUCGAACGAAGUAGCAAUACUUAGUGGCAGACGGGUGAGUAACAUGUAGGUAUCUGCCCUUUGGCCUGGAAUAACACGAGGAAACUUGUGCUAAUACCGGAUAAGUCUUUACGGAGAAAGCUUUAUGCACCAUUGGAUGAGCCUGCACUUGAUUAGUUUGUUGGUAGGGUAAUGGCCUACCAAGACUUUGAUCAAUAGCUGAUUUGAGAGGAUGAUCAGCCACAUUGGGACUGAGACACGGCCCAAACUCCUACGGGAGGCAGCAGUGGGGAAUCUUGCACAAUGGAGGAAACUCUGAUGCAGCGAUGCCGCGUGAGUGAAGAAGGCCCUUGGGUUGUAAAGCUCUUUCGUCGGGGAAGAAAAUGACUGUACCCGAAUAAGAAGGUCCGGCUAACUUCGUGCCAGCAGCCGCGGUAAUACGAAGGGACCUAGCGUAGUUCGGAAUUACUGGGCUUAAAGAGUUCGUAGGUGGUUGAAAUAGUUGGUGGUGAAAUCCCAGA